rnacentral:rRNA from 1 species
GAGUCUAUGGACUUCGGUCCAUGGCGGACGGCUCAGUAACACGUGGUUAACCUACCCUUAGGUGGGGGAUAACCUUGGGAAACUGAGGAUAAUACCCCAUAGGAAAAGAGGUUUGGAAUAAUCCUUUUCUGAAAGGACAUCCGCCUAAGGAUGGGACUGCGUCUGAUUAGGUAGUUGGUGGGGUAAUGGCCCACCAAGCCUACGAUCAGUACGGGCCUUGAGAGAGGGAGCCCGGAGAUGGGGACUGAGACACGGCCCCAGGCCCUACGGGGCGCAGCAGGCGCGAAACCUCCACAAUGCACGAAAGUGCGAUGGGGGAAUCCCAAGUGCCUAUGUAAAACAUAGGCUUUUCCCAAGUUUAAACAACUUGGGGAAUAAGGGCUGGGCAAGUCCGGUGCCAGCAGCCGCGGUAACACCGGCGGCCCAAGUGGUAGCCACUCUUAUUGGGCCUAAAGCG